rfam:Danio rerio chromosome 20, GRCz11 reference primary assembly.
UGCCUCCUCAUUUGUAAGUCGCUUUGGAUAAAAGCAUCUGUCAAAUGCCUAAUU